rnacentral:lncRNA from 1 species
GCACAGGAGCGGGGGGAGAAGGAAGGAGCCCAAUGAAGAUAUAUAUUAAAAAGAGUAAUUUUUUUUUUUAAUCUAAAUUAAAUAGUAGGAAACGAACCCUUGAUUCAGGUCUGUAAUACUGCGAAGAGGCAGAGCCCAGCAGCCUGCUUUGCUCUUCCUGCUGUCCCCUUCAGCUGCAGCUUGCCCGCUGUGUGCCCAUAGGGGCCGUGGGGCUCCCACGGAGGGGCACAGGGAACAUUCCAGACCACAGUGAGCGUGGUUUUUUUGGUUGGUUUGUUUUGGGGUUGGUUGGUUGGUUGGUUUUUUCUUUUAAUCCCCCUUUUCAGAAGGUUAAAACAAUUGCUCUCUUUUACAACUGAUACCGAAGGACCAAAGAAAUCCAAGCUGAUGGGUGGCCCUCGCAUGGUCCCUUUGCCACCCGCAGCCCCGGGCUGUCCCCAUGCCCUGCCAUCGCCCCACCUCAGCCCUCUGUUUGCACAGCACGUGGGGCUCUUCUCUCUUUCCUCCGGUGCUUCAAGAAACACUUCUUAAAUAGAGGUCUCUAUGAGUUUGUUUGCUGCUUCAAAAACUAAGAAGUCUCCGAAAUGUGAAUGAUUCUCUUAGGCAGCCCGUGGGAAAGAGGAGGUCAGCUUUGUGUAUUCAUCUGUGAAUGGGGCAGCGUUUGCUGCCUGAGCCAUGGCAGGGCAGGGAAGGCAGCGUUGUGCCCACGAGGCAUCCUGACAGCACUGCGUGACGGCUUCAGAGCUCCGCAGCCGCCUUCCACGCGGUGCAAAAAGACUUCUUGUACAAAGCAACCUGGUGCUAUGAUGUGUGCAGCCCCUCUCACGUACUGUCGAGCUUCUGGCCGAGGCAGGAGCUCCGUGUUCCGAGCCGUGCAGCAAUCCAGCAGAGCCGAGGGCAGCAGGGAUGGCUCAAUGCGAGCUGUCGUUCCCCGGCCGGUGCUGCCCAUGCACACAGACUCCCUAUUGGAGAUGGACUUUUUCCCCCUCUUUGGGAAGCGUUGGCCUCGGUGAUGCUUCUCAGCUGGGGAGGGGUGGGGUGGGGAAGGGAGCCUGGCUUGCGUUGCGAAAGCACAGCAUCUUAAAGGUCAAUAAGCUUUUACUUCAUUAUAGCAAAGCGAUAUAGAAGCAGAUGGCUUGAGACAACGAUCUCCUGGGUAGAGAGCUACCCAGGAAACAAAGCUGGAGCUGCAGAGGGGAGCUGGGAGGUGUGCUGGGCUGCAGCUCAGGGCCCCUCGGCUCAGCCCCAGGCAGACACAGCCGCGAUGGGAGCUCAGAGCUCUCCUGGCGCAGCCCCCAAAGCUCUGUGCUCUCUGCGCUCUGAGCCGCCCGCGAGGCAGCCUUUAAUGCCAGACGGACUCAGUAACCCAUUGCUGUUCCAUGGCCUCCGAAUCUCCUCUCUCUUUCUCUCUGUCCCCUUUCCCCCCCAUCUGAGAAGGAAGAACCUUACCAGUGUUUCCCUUCACUCCUUGGAGCGAUGGCCAACAGCGGCGCCGCCGUUACCGACGUAUCGCGCAGUGUUUCUUUCCAAGUGAAGUAUUCCUGCGACCACUGAGCGCAGUGGAGAGAUUCCCGGGGCUUCCCCACUCCGUAGCUUCCAAAAGAAGUACAGUAUGCGUUUCAAUAAUAAUAAUAAUAAUAAUAAUAACUAAUAAUAAUACACACUGCAGUAUUUCCUGGUGGCUGCUCGUGGCCCGGCUCCUCCUCGCCACCCCCAGGAGGACGGAGCAGGGCAGGAGCGCCCCGAGUCCGUGUAGAAGUUGGCAGAAUGGUGAUCAAUGGUGUGUAAACGUGUUGUUGAUUCCAUGUAUAGAACUGUGAUUUCAACUGUCGUUCUCUCUCGUACUCUGUAAAUAUGUGUUUUUUUGGCUGUCGGAAAUCUGGUUUAGACUCUUUUUCUUGGCAGAAUGAACUUGCAUGUGGGGCUGGAAAGAACUCGAUCUGUGUCGGUUUCCAAAGGGCAGGAUGGAUUUUCUUUUUUUUUUUUUUUUAGAGGACAAUAAAUUUUUAUUUUUUUGCUAAGAAAAAAAAAAAAAAGGAGAGAAGCAAAGAAUAAAGCUGUGUGUGUGUGUGUGUGUGUGUGUGUGUG